rnacentral:rRNA from 1 species
AACGAACGCUGGCGGCGUGGAUUAGGCAUGCAAGUCGAACGCGAAAGAGGGGGCAACCCCUCGAGUAGAGUGGCGAACGGGUGAGUAACACGUGAAGAACCUGCCUUCGAGAGGGGGAUAACACUCCUAAAGGGGUGCUAAUACCGCAUGAGACCACGGGUCCACAUGAACCCGAGGUCAAAGGUGGCCUCUGCUUGCAAGCUACCGCUCGAAGAUGGCUUCGCGUCCCAUUAACUAGUUGGCGGUGUAAUGGACCACCAAGGCGACGAUGGGUAGCUGGUCUGAGAGGAUGGUCAGCCACACUGGGACUGAGAUACGGCCCAGACUCCUACGGGAGGCAGCAGUCGAGAGGCUUUGGCAAUGGGGGAAACCCUGACCAAGCGACGCCGCGUGGAGGAUGAAGGCCCUUGGGUUGUAAACUCCUUUUGUCGGGGAAGAAACACGAUCAGGUGAAUA